CUUGACGACCAUAGAGCAUUGGAACCACCUGAUCCCAUCCCGAACUCAGUAGUGAAACGAUGCAUCG
rnacentral:rRNA from 1 species